UGGGGAAUUUUGCGCAAUGGGCGAAAGCCUGACGCAGUAACGCCGCGUGGAGGAUGAAGGCCCUCGGGUUGUAAACUCCUGUCAGGGGGAACGACGGGCCUCGGGGGAUAAGCCCGGGGACCCAGACGGUACCUCCAAAGGAAGCCCCGGCUAAUUCCGUGCCAGCAGCCGCGGUAAUACGGAAGGGGCAAGCGUUGUUCGGAAUCAUUGGGCGUAAAGGGCGCGUAGGUGGUUUUGUAUGUCUCCCGUGAAAGCGUACAGCUCAACUGUAGGAGGUCGGGAGAAACUGCAGGACUUGAGGCUGGGAGGGGCUGGUGGAAUUCCCUGUGUAGCGGUGAAAUGCGUAGAGAUGGGGGAGAACACUCGUGGCGAAGGCGGCCAGCUAGACCAGUUCUGACACUGAGGCGCGACAGCGUGGGGAGCAAACAGGAUUAGAUACCCGCGUAGUCC
rnacentral:rRNA from 1 species